rnacentral:misc_RNA from 1 species
UACGGAGGUGGCGAGCGUUAAUCGGAAUUACUGGGCGUAAAGCGCGCGUAGGCGGCUAAGUAAGCCGGUUGUGAAAGCCCCGGGCUCAACCUGGGAAUGGCAUCCGGAACUGGUAAGCUAGAGUGCAGAAGAGGAAGGUAGAAUUCCAGGUGUAGCGGUGAAAUGCGUAGAGAUCGGGAGGAAUACCAGUGGCGAAGGCGGCCUUCUGGUCUGACACUGACGCUGAGGUGCGAAAGCGAGGGUAGCAAACAGG